rnacentral:rRNA from 1 species
AAGCCCCUAGUGACUUUGGUGCGAGCACUGACUAAACCCGAAGGCGGAAAGAAAUUGAAAACGAGUCCAGUACUCGUCCAGGGAAGAUGGCGACGGAUCCGGCCUCUUUGAGAGGUACAACCGCAGAUCGGCCCGCAUUCCCGGGGUGCCUCAUUCGCCGGCCGUCGACUGAGCUGGGUAUAGGGGCGAAAGACUAAUCGAACUAUCUAGUAGCUGGUUCCCUCCGAAGUUUCCCUCAGGAUAGCUGGCGCUCGGAGGUGAGAUGAGAUGAACGCGCUGAGUCUCUUCCGGUAAAGCGAAUGAUUAGAGGCCUUGGGGCCGAAACGACCUCAACCUAUUCUCAAACUUUAAAUGGGUGAGAACCCCGGCUUGCU